UACGUAGGGGGCAAGCGUUGUCCGGAUUUAUUGGGCGUAAAGAGCGUGUAGGCGGCCAGGUAGGUCUGAUGUGAAAACUCGAGGCUCAACCUCGAGAGGUCAUCGGAAACCAUCUGGCUAGAGUCCGGAAGAGGAGAGUGGAAUUCCCGGUGUAGCGGUGAAAUGCGCAGAUAUCGGGAAGAACACCUAUGGCGAAGGCAGCUCUCUGGGACGGUACUGACGCUGAGACGCGAAAGCGUGGGGAGCGAACAGG
rnacentral:rRNA from 1 species